GAUGAACGCUGGCGGCGUGCCUAAUACAUGCAAGUCGAGCGAACAGACGAGGAGCUUGCUCCUCUGUCGUUAGCGGCGGACGGGUGAGUAACACGUGGAUAACCUACCUAUAAGACUGGGAUAACUUCGGGAAACCGGAGCUAAUACCGGAUAAUAUAUUGAACCGCAUGGUUCAAUAGUGAAAGACGGUUUUGCUGUCACUUAUAGAUGGAUCCGCGCCGCAUUAGCUAGUUGGUAAGGUAACGGCUUACCAAGGCAACGAUGCGUAGCCGACCUGAGAGGGUGAUCGGCCACACUGGAACUGAGACACGGUCCAGACUCCUACGGGAGGCAGCAGUAGGGAAUCUUCCGCAAUGGGCGAAAGCCUGACGGAGCAACGCCGCGUGAGUGAUGAAGGUCUUCGGAUCGUAAAACUCUGUUAUUAGGGAAGAACAAAUGUGUAAGUAACUAUGCACGUCUUGGCGGUACCUAAUCAGAAAGCCACGGCUAACUACGUG
rnacentral:rRNA from 1 species